UUGAUCCUGGCUCAGAAUCAACGCUGGCGGCGUGCCUAACACAUGCAAGUCGAACGAGAAAGCGGGGGCAACUCCGUGAGUAUAGUGGCGUACGGGUGAUUAACACGUAGCUAACCUACCCUCGAGUGGGGGAUAACCUGGGGAAACCUUGGCUAAUACCGCAUAACAUCCCGAUGACUUAAGUCGAUGGGAGCAAAGGUCCGCAAGGGUCGCUUGUGGAGGGGGCUGCGGCCGAUUAGCUAGUUGGUAUGGUAACGGCCUACCAAGGCGAUGAUCGGUAGCCGGCCUGAGAGGGCGCAUGGUCACACUGGCACUGAAACACGGGCCAGACUCCUACGGGAGGCAGCAGUGGGGAAUUUUGCACAAUGCCCGAAAGGGUGAUGCAGCAACGCCGCGUGAUGGAUGAAGGCCUUCGGGUCGUAAACCUCUUUCGAUCGGGAAAAACGGCCUUGUGAAGAGCGGGGUCUGAUGGUACCGGUGGAAGAAGCCCCGGCUAACUUCGUGCCAGCAGCCGCGGUAAUAAGGU
rnacentral:rRNA from 1 species